ACGAACGCUGGCGGCGUGCCUAAUACCUGCAAGUAGAACGCACAGUUUAUACCGUAGCUUGCUACACCAUAGACUGUGAGUUGCGAACGGGUGAGUAACGCGUAGGUAACCUGCCUGGUAGCGGGGGAUAACUAUUGGAAACGAUAGCUAAUACCGCAUAAUAUUGAUUAUUGCAUGAUAAUUGAUUGAAAGAUGCUAUUGCAUCACUACCAGAUGGACCUGCGUUGUAUUAGCUAGUAGGUGAGGUAACGGCUCACCUAGGCGACGAUACAUAGCCGACCUGAGAGGGUGAUCGGCCACACUGGGACUGAGACACGGCCCAGACUCCUACGGGAGGCAGCAGUAGGGAAUCUUCGGCAAUGGACGAAAGUCUGACCGAGCAGCGCCGCGUGAGUGAAGAAGGUUUUCGGAUCGUAAAGCUCUGUUGUAAGAGAAGAACGGGUGUGAGAGUGGAAAGUUCACACUGUGACGGUAUCUUACCAGAAAGGGACGGCUAACUACGUG
rnacentral:rRNA from 1 species